GAACUCAACAGACAUUUUAUAGAGAUGGCCCAGAGACUGCGGGAAUGAUAUCUGUGUGUAUAUAUUAAAAGACAGGAAAAGUGGUGGUGAUUAAUUAGAAAUUUAUCAGAAAGCGUGGGAUCUGGGCAUGAUGUAAAUCAUAUAAAAUAAGGGGUGGAUGUUGUCCUGGUUUUGGCUGGGAUAGAGUUAAUUUUCUUCUUAGUAGCUGGUACAGUCUUCUGUUUUGUGUUCA